GAUGAACGCUGGCGGCGUGCCUAAUACAUGCAAGUCGAGCGAACAGACGAGGAGCUUGCUCCCUGACGUUAGCGGCGGACGGGUGAGUAACACGUGGAUAACCUACCUAUAAGACUGGGAUAACUUCGGGAAACCGGAGCUAAUACCGGAUAACAUGUUGAACCGCAUGGUUCAACAGUGAAAGACGGUCUUGCUGUCACUUAUAGAUGGAUCCGCGCCGCAUUAGCUAGUUGGUAAGGUAACGGCUUACCAAGGCAACGAUGCGUAGCCGACCUGAGAGGGUGAUCGGCCACACUGGAACUGAGACACGGUCCAGACUCCUACGGGAGGCAGCAGUAGGGAAUCUUCCGCAAUGGGCGAAAGCCUGACGGAGCAACGCCGCGUGAGUGAAGAAGGUCUUCGGAUCGUAAAACUCUGUUAUUAGGGAAGAACAAAUGUGUAAGUAACUAUGCACGUCUUGACGGUACCUAAUCAGAAAGCCACGGCUAACUACGUG
rnacentral:rRNA from 1 species